rnacentral:rRNA from 1 species
AACGAACGCUGGCGGCAGGCUUAACACAUGCAAGUCGAACGCAUCCUUCGGGGUGAGUGGCAGACGGGUGAGUAACGCGUGGGAACGUGCCCUUCAGUUCGGGAUAACCCAGGGAAACUUGGGCUAAUACCGGAUACGUGCGAGAGCAGAAAGAUUUAUCGCUGAAGGAUCGGCCCGCGUCUGAUUAGCUAGUUGGUGGGGUAAUGGCCCACCAAGGCGACGAUCAGUAGCUGGUCUGAGAGGAUGAUCAGCCACAUUGGGACUGGGACACGGCCCAAGCUCCUACGGGAUGCAGCAGUGGGGAAUAUUGGACAAUGGGCGCAAGCCUGAUCCAGCCAUGCCGCGUGAGUGAUGAAGGCCUUAGGGUUGUAAAGCUCUUUCGUCCGGGACGAUAAUGACGGUACCGGAAGAAGAAGCCCCGGCUAACUUCGUGCCAGCCGCCGCCGUAA